UGAUUGGCUCUGCAGCUUUCAUUCUCUGGAAAUUUUAAGGACUAAAGUAUUUAUACACUUUGGGAUCAGGAAGGAGCUGUGCUUGGAUACAGAGGAUUGCUAUAAUCUCUGGAGAUGUUGCAUUGAAAGUCCACUUUUCUGAAACUUUGAGAACUUGAAGAUCAUUAAUACCAUCAGUACCCUUCCUUUCAAAUAUCAAAUUUCUAGUAAAACAGUGUUGAAACUAUCUUUGACAACUAUCAUAUGGUUUCACCCACAUGUGGAAUUUAAGAGCUAGUACAGAGGACCAUAAGGGAUGGGAGGGGAACUGAAUAGGAAAAAUCAGAGAGAGAGAGACAAACCAUGAGAGGCUCUUAACUCUGAGAAACAAACUGAGAGUUGCUGAAGGGGAAGUUGUUGGGGGAUGGGGUAACUGGGCGGUGGGCACUAAGAAGGACAUGUGAUGUGAUGAGCACUGGGUGUCAUAAGCAAUUGGUUAAUUAUUGAAAACUACAUCUGAAAAUGAUGGCAGUAGUUUGGCAAAUUGAAUUUUAAAAAGAAAAAAGAAAAAGAAACUAUCUCUGAAGCUAUCGAGGAGCCAGCAGUCCAACUUCCUGAUUGUCAGGAGUGUUAACACCCAGCCACAGGAACCCGUGGAACUUGCUGCCUUGAAGAAUGUUUUGAAAAGGAAAGGUCCAGAGUGAGGGUAGAACCCUUCUCAGGAGAGAAUAAUGAACACAAUGACCUCCAGGACAAAGGAGAGUGAGUGGGGCGGGCUGGGAAAUCAAGACUGCUUGCAAUUUAGUGCAUGAAUUGUUGGGUGUGACAGUAGUUCUUCAUGGGGACUUGGGAUUUUUUUUGUUUGUUUUAAAAUUACAAAGGAUCUCAGAGACUGAGAGAAACACAGGGAAGAGGAAGGAGGGAAGUGGGACCCAGGGGCAUUAUGGAAUUCACGGAAACUGGCUUCAAGCUCUCUUGUUUCUCUCUUCAUUUAUUUAAGCACAUCCUCCAAGUAAUCACCUCCUUUGGAAGAGACUAUUUUCUGAUUACACUGAGAUUCACAGACCCAGGAAAUGUCCUCAGGAAAUGCACUUGGACAGAUGAUGGAAUUAUGAAGGGUCACCACAUACCAGAGGAAAUAUGAAGCAGCAGCUUUGAAGACUGAGCAACCAAUUGAGGCAUCCCCAACCCAACUGGGCUUAAUGCAGCUUCACUGAACCUGAUCUGAGACUCACAGCUCCCCGGGA
rnacentral:lncRNA from 1 species